rnacentral:rRNA from 1 species
AGAUUGAACGCUGGCGGCAUGCCUAACACAUGCAAGUCGAACGGUAACAGGCCCUUCGGGGUGCUGACGAGUGGCGGACGGGUGAGUAAGGCAUCGGAAUCUGCCCUGAUGUGGGGGAUAACGUAGGGAAACUUACGCUAAUACCGCAUACGACCGAGAGGUGAAAGCGGGGGACCGAAAGGCCUCGCGCAGCAGGAUGAGCCGAUGUCCGAUUAGCUGGUUGGUGGGGUAAAGGCCUACCCAAGGCUACGAGGUCGGUANGUGUCGUAGAGGACGGACCGACGACGACCACUACGUCGGACUGAGACACGGGCCCAGACUCCUACCGGGAGGCAGC